UUUUUCCUACGGGAGGCAGCAGUGAGGAAUAUUGGUCAAUGGGCGCGAGUCUGAACCAGCCAAGUCGCGUGAGGGAAGACGGUCCUAUGGAUUGUAAACCUCUUUUGUCGGGGAGCAAAAGACGCCACGCGUGGCGUUCCGAGAAUACCCGAAGAAAAAGCAUCGGCUAACUCCGUGCCAGCAGCCGCGGUAAUACGGAGGAUGCGAGCGUUAUCCGGAUUUAUUGGGUUUAAAGGGUGCGCAGGCGGAAGAUCAAGUCAGCGGUAAAAAUUCGGGGCUCAACCCCGUCGUGCCGUUGAAACUGA
rnacentral:rRNA from 1 species